UACGGAGGGUGCGAGCGUUAUCCGGAUUCACUGGGUUUAAAGGGUGCGUAGGUGGGAAUGUAAGUCAGUGGUGAAAUCUCUGAGCUUAACUCAGAAACUGCCAUUGAUACUAUGUUUCUUGAAUUUUCUGGAGGUCAGCGGAAUAUGUCAUGUAGCGGUGAAAUGCUUAGAUAUGACAUAGAACACCAAUUGCGAAGGCAGCUGGCUACAGGGAUAUUGACACUGAGGCACGAAAAGCGUGGGGAUCAAACAGG
rnacentral:rRNA from 1 species